rnacentral:rRNA from 1 species
GAUUAACGCUGGCGGCGUGCAUAACACAUGCAAGUCGAACGAUGAAACUUAAAUGAUUUCUUCGGAAUGAACUUAAGUGGAUUAGUGGCGGACGGGUGAGUAACGCGUGAGUAACCUGCCUUACACAAGGGGAUAGCCGUUGGAAACGACGAAUAAUACCCUAUGAUGUUUCUAUCUCGCAUGAGAUAUUAACCAAAGUGUUAGCGGUGUAAGAUGGACUUGCGUCUGAUUAGCUAGUUGGUGAGAAAAAAGCCCACCGAGGCAACGAUCAGUAGCCGGCUUGAGAGAGUGUACGGCCACAUUGGGACUGAGACACGGCCCAGACUCCUACGGGAGGCAGCAGUGGGGAAUUUUGCACAAUGGGGGAAACCCUGAUGCAGCGACGCCGCGUGAUUUAGAAGGCCUUCGGGUUGUAAAAAUCUUUUGUAUAGGAAGAAAAUGACAGUACUAUACGAAUAAGGUCCGGCUAAUUACGUG